GAGAGAGAGAGAGAGAGAGAGAGAGAGAGAGAGAGAGAGAGAGAGAGAGAGAGAGAGAGAGAGAGAGAGAGAGUUGGAGAGUCUGGGCUUUUACCAAAGGCUGCGAAUUGGGUAUUUCUGGAUUUGAAGGGAGAAGCUUGAGGGUUUAGAUUGAUUUUCAGUAGCAAAGGUGAAGAUUUGAGAGUUUGGUUUCUACUUGUGAUCAAAUUUGUAGAAAGGCAAAAGGGGGGAAAUUUUCUGAAGUGGAGGAUUUUGCUUUGGGUUGUUUACUGUCUUUGUUUACCUUGCCUUACUGUGAGUGACUUCUCUACUUUGCUAGCUGUUUUAUUUUCAUUAUGUCCACUGCCUUGCUGCUGUUAACAUGGAAUGUGAGAGUUUGGUUUUAAUAAACGGUUAUGUUGGGUGUUUGAUGUUAUGUGAACUUACUGAGGUUGUUGAUUUUUAUUUGGGUGCUCUUUGUACGAUGCUUAUCAGUUAUAUUGUAUUAGUACUUGUUGUUUGUGUUCUAUAUCAAUUGAACGGUUUGGUUUUGGUUUCGGUAUAAUGAUUGUUCUCUUGGGUUUAUUACUAGCUUUUGAAAUCAGUCACGAACUUCUAUUGAAAACCAAAUUUUGUAACUAUCUUUUAAGUUUAUGUUAACAAUUUUCUUUCGGGUGGGUUAAUUGUUCAAUUUAUAUGGGCACUACCAGCAUCAACAUGGUAUAAAUAUAUGGGAGGAUCAUACUAAGUCAAUUGUAGAAUUAAGAAACUGAUUAUUUCAUAUGAAUUCUUGGGUAUCUUGCAAAAAUUUCAGUGGUAGAUUUAGAGUUUUGUUUGGGGAUUAUAUAUGUUGAGUUAAAAAUCAUCUGUCUUCUUCCUCUGCCUCUUGCUAGUGAAACUACUCAUUCUAGAAAACAUCUUAUGAUAUAGUAUGGAUUAAAGUAUCUAUAUGGUGGUUAAACAAAAUGGAGCCUCGAGUAAAGAGUAGAGAGCCAUGAGGCAUAGUGCUCCAUGCAUUGAUUGCCUUGGCAUUCAGAGAGAGAGUUUGGUUCCAUUUAUUCCUAAAUAUUGUAUUGGCAUACAAGUAAGUUGAUAACUCUGCUACCGUGCUAUUAUAGCCUGGAUUAUUGUGCAUUUUCGGUUCUUGUGGAAGUACGUGUUUAUUAUUGCUUUGAUGACACAUUUCUCUGAAAAUCUUGUUUGGUAUAGUCAUGUUAGUUAUUGCAGGAGAGUAAUCGAUGUGUCAGGUAGUUAUAAAGGUUCCAGAUUUAAGCCCAGAAAGUACUGUAAUGCUUAUAUAUAACAAUGCUGCAGGAACAAGUUAACAUAUUUUCAGAGUUUCAUAAUUAGAGUAAUGUAUCUAAAUAUUUUUAAAUAAUAAAAUCUUCAAAACAAGCAAAUAGAAUCUGUACAUUUACUUAUAUGCCAGUGAAGGUUGUUUACUUGUUAUAAGGGUCUAUUUCUAUUGGGUGUUUGGGACUGAAUGCAAUGUAUGAAUUUGUUUGACUCCGCUGAAAUUUCUUGACCCAUGGGCUUACAGGCACAAAUGUCCUACCUAUUACAAGCAAUAUAAGAAGAAAGAACAUCUCAUUGAGCACAAGAAGGUUGCUUUCCACUCAGCUCAUGAUCCUAUUUGUGGAGUGUGCAGAAAGCCCUGCAAAUCUUUUGAGUCAUUGAGGGGUCAUCUUACUGAACAAAUGGAGGACUCUAAGAUUUCAAACCACUGAAUUCCUCUCCAUUUUGCAUCAGUGUCAGAAUCUUUCUUAUACACUACUUUUGGAUCAAGGCGUCAAGUGGACUGAAGAUUGGUCCUUUGGUACUUGUUGGGAGUUGCACUUCAAGGAUUCAGGAUUUUGAAUGAUGAAGAUGUAGAUAUAGAGGAAACGGUUCUUCACACUCCAAUAUCCAAAUCCCAGAAGCACCAUUCAGAUUCGUUCUACUUAACACCACAAACAAAUUGGAGCAUUCCGUCUACUGCAGUAUGUGUUAGCUUGUGAAGUUUCACAACAAGCUUGGAGGUGAUGCAAAUAAGAAUAUAGUGCACAAGAUACUUGAUAAAAUGGCAUGUGAAGAUUUUGUUGAAGCGAAAAGAUACUAUAUCAGCUUUCGAUUCAUGUGUAGUUAGCUAGGAAUGCUUUCUUGUUUGGUACAUUAUUUAGUUACUUGAAUGUAUGGAUGUUUGAAAAAUGGUAAUUGAAUGAUAUGAAUUACAGUACUGU